AUUGAACGCUAGCGGGAUGCUUUACACAUGCCAGUCGAACGGCAGCGCGGACUUCGGUCUGGCGGCGAGUGGCGAACGGGUGAGUAAUGUAUCGGGACGUGCCCAGUAGCGGGGGAUAACUACGCGAAAGCGUAGCUAAUACCGCAUACGCCCUACGGGGGAAAGCAGGGGAUCGUAAGACCUUGCACUAUUGGAGCGGCCGAUAUCGGAUUAGCUAGUUGGUGAGGUAACGGCUCACCAAGGCGACGAUCCGUAGCUGGUUUGAGAGGACGACCAGCCACACUGGGACUGAGACACGGCCCAGACUCCUACGGGAGGCAGCAGUGGGGAAUUUUGGACAAUGGGGGCAACCCUGAUCCAGCCAUCCCGCGUGUGCGAUGAAGGCCUUCGGGUUGUAAAGCACUUUUGGCAGGAAAGAAACGUCGCGGGCUAAUACCCCGUGGAACUGACGGUACCUGCAGAAUAAGCACCGGCUAACUACGUG
rnacentral:rRNA from 1 species